AUGUGUAGUACUACAAUACAAUAAUGACCCGAUCUUGACAAGCUUUUGCUCUCUCCCUCCUAAAACUACUGACUUUUGGAGAUAUGGUGGGUAGAGCCCAGAUCUCAAUGGACCGUUUUUGUACUCAGCCCAGGAGUGGUGUCUGGUUAAGUGACUUGCUCGGAGUCACGCAUUUAUGCAAUGGAGCCUGAUGGAAAUCAAAUCUUGUACCACUGGACCAGAGGAAACAACUAAUUAAUCCUCUAAGAUGGAUAAUAAACAUAUGAAUUUUUGUAUGUAACACACACACACACACACACACACACACACACACACACACACACACACACACACACACACACGGGUGCUUACACAAUUUAUUUAUUUACUUACAUUGUUUACAACUGUGCUUGAAAAGGGCCCUUGUGGUCUGGGCUACACUAGAUGUGCUUUGUUGAAAAUAAAUAUAUAAAUA